rnacentral:lncRNA from 1 species
AUGCCAAAGAGUGAUCAAACUACUGCACAAUUGCACUCAUCUCACAUGCUACCAAGUAAUACUAAAAUUCUCCAAACUAGGUUUCAACAGCACACCAACCAGAUGUUCAAGCUGGAUUUAGAAAAGGCAGAGGAACCAAAGAUCAAAUUGCCAACAUCCGCUGGAUCAUUGAAAACGCAAAACAGUUCCAGAAACAUCUACUUCUGCUUUAUUGACUAUGCCAAAGCCUUUGAUUGGAUCACAACAAACUGGAAAAUUCUUAAAGAGAUGGGAAUACCAGACCACCUGAUCUGCCUUCUGAGAAAUCUGUAUGCAGGUCAAGAAGCAACAGUUAGAACUGGACAUGGAACAACAGACUGGUUCCAAGUCAGGAAAGGAGUAUGUCAAGGCUGUAUAUUGUCACACUGCUUAUUUAACUUAUAUGCAGAGUACGUCAUGAGAAACGCUGGGCUGGAUGAAGCACAAGCUGGAAUCAAGAUUGCUGGGAGAAAUAUCAAUAACCUCAGAUAUGCAUAUGACACCACACUUAUGGCAGAAAGCAAAGAGGAGCUAAAGAGCCUCUUGAUGAAAGUGAAAGAGGAGAGUGAAAAAGUUGGCUUAAAACUCAACAUUCAGAAAACAAAGAUCAUGGUAUCUGGUCCCAUUACUUCAUGGCAAAUAGAUGGGGAAACAGUGGAAACAGUGACAAACUUUAUCUUUUGGGGGGGUUCCAAAAUCACUGCAGAUGGUGAUUGCAGCCAUGAAAUUAAAAGACACCUGCUCCUUGGAAGAAAAGCUAUGACCAACCUAGACAGCAUAUUAAAAAGCAAAGACAUUACUUUGUCAACAAAGGUCCAUCUAGUGAAAGCCAUGGUUUUUCCAGUAGUCUUGUAUGGAUGUGAGAGUUGGACUAUAAAGAAAGCUGAGUGCCAAAGAACUGACGCUUUUGAACUGUGGUGUUGGAGAAGACUCUUGAGAGUCCCUUGGACAGCAAGGAGAUCCAACCAGUCCAUCCUAAAGGAAAUCAGUCCUGAAUAUUCAUUGGAAGGACUGAUGCUGAAGCUGAAACUCCAAUAA